ACUGGCGCAGUGGUAUAAUACAAGUCUAGUGAUACUAAAGUAGUGGGUUCAAACCUAACAAAAGAAACUUUUUCAGCGGUUUUGUUGUAGGGAAAAGCUAGCCUAAAUUAUUUUUGACAAACUUUCUAAAUCGGUUGCAUAACAGAACUAUAUUUUUUUAAUUCUAAUGUUUUUUAUUGUACUUUGAAUUAGUAAUUAAUUUAAUUUUAAAAGAAUUAGUAAUUGCGGUGGCAACCCUGAUAUCAAUAUUAAACAAAUUUGCUAUCUAGCCAAAUAUAGUGUUGCAGACCACGAUAAUUUUAGAUUUUCGUCUGCAAUUUGUAUCGAUACAACCCAACAACAAUAAAAUCAUUAUUGUGCUGAGUAAUGUUUACAGAGUAUUGGCACAGUGGUAUAAUACAAGGCUAGCGAUUUAGAGGUAUUGGGUUCUAACCUGAACAAAGUAUGUUUUUCAGCGUUUUUAUUGUUAGGAAAAGCUUGCUUAAAUAUUUUUUGAUGGGAUUUUAGAAAUCGGUUGCGCAAGAGACCUAUACUUUUUGAAUUAUAAUGUUUCUUAUUGUAAUUUGAAUUAGUAAUUAAUUUAAUUUAAAAAGAAUUAGUAAUUGCGGUGGCAACCCUGAUAUCUAUCAAUAUUAAACAAAUUUGCUAUCCAGCCAAAUAUAGUGUUACAGACGACGAUAAUUUUAGAUUUUCGUCUGCAAUUUGUAUCGAUACUACCCAACAACAACAACGUCAUUGUUGUGCUAUACAAAACAUACAGAGUAUUGGCACAGUGGCAUAAUGCAAGGCUACCGAUGCAGAGGUAUUGGGUUCAAACCUCAACGAAGAACGUUUUUCAACGAUUUUAUUGUUGGGAAAAGCUUGCUUAAAUGAUUUUUGACGGGAUUUUCUAAAGCUAUUGCAUAACAGACCUAUAUUUUUUUAAUUCUAAUGUUUCUUAUUGUAAUUUGAAUUAGUAAUUAAUUUAAUUUUAAAAGAAUUAGUCAUUGCUGUGGCAACCCUGAUAUCAAUAGUAAACAAAUUUACUAUCCAGCCAAAUAUAGUGUUGCAGACGACGAUAAUUUUAGAUUUUCGUCUGCAUUUUGUAUCGAUACUAACCAACAACAGUCAAUUCUUUUUGACUUACAUAGCAGUUACCAAUUUGAUUGGCAUAGUGGUAUGAGAAGAAGCUCAUGACAACAAGGAUCCGUGUUCGAUCCCAAUAACUAACAUAACUUUUUUAUUGCACAUUAGUCUGAGAAAAUGGUGAUUUUACAGUGGUAAUCGUUGAUAAUUUGAAGGUUUGACUUUUACUAUUUUCUAUUUGAUUUUCUAUUUGGAAAAUUAUAUCGAUUGUCGUUCAUAUAGUUUACUUUAAAUGUAGCAUAAACUAAAUAAUAUUGCAGGCAACUAUAGCUCUGUGGUAUCAUACAGUAUUUGGGAUUCAGAAUAUCGAAGUUCAAAUCUCACUCCAUCCACAUCUUUUAUUUCGUAUGGGGUAUUAACAUUUUUUUGUUGUGUUCUUUGUGUUUGGACUAUUUUGCAAUUAGAAAUCGUCUUAAUUUUUUCGUUUAGCAUGAAAAAUACAAAAAAUUUGAUGUAAAAUUCGAUAAAAUAUAGAUAAAACUAGCUUUGUAACAUACUGUUUAGUCUUAAGAAAAGCAGACGAUGAUCAGUUCAGAUUUGUAUUGUGCAAUUUGUAUCGAUAUUCGGUAACAAAAUGAUUGUUCUUUGCAUGACACAUUUGUUUAUCGUCUUAAUAGCUCUGUGGAUGAAGACAGCAAUGGCAUGACAAAGGUUAAGAGUUCAAAUCCAGCGAUGGGUAUGGAUCUUUUCUUAAUUUUUUGUUUUUGACAAUACGCCAUCUAUUGAGUAUCGGAAAAACUACUUGGAAAGUAUCGAUACAACGAUAUAUCUAAAAAUAUCGACUAUCUAACAUUUAUCUAAAAAUAUCGAUAUAUCGUUAAAAAAUUUAGAUAGUCGCCAACACUAUCCUAUUUCUCCCAGUCCUAUUUCUACAGGAGAAAUAGGACUGAAAAUUUCCGCCUAUGACCUAUUCGGCGGAGCAACUAGCUGAAAUGGCGAAGGGAAAUUGCAGAGAUGGCACGUGCAUGAUUAAUCAAGCAGACUACUCGGCUUACAGAGAGAUCUCUCAACUGGUUCCCUAUUGUUCGUCUAUUCACAGUAAUAUUUAGUGUUGGUGGGACUAGAACCAGAACGGACAUUCCCAGUCCCUACGUCAGAAUCAGCUCUAAAACCUGGAUUUAGAUUACCUCAAAACAAUUAGUCCGAAUAAAUAAAAAUGUUUUCGUAACCUACAAUUACUGGUUCGAAAGACGUCCAAUACAAUUAAGAGAAUCAAAUAAA